GCGCCGACCGGGUGAUGCCCCGGAAGCCCGGGCGGGCCGUCGCUGCGUCACGCUGCUCGCCCGCGGGCGCCCGCCCUUGCGCGCACGUCUUGGCGCCGGGUUGCCAGCGGUGUCCGGCUAGCAGGGACCGCCGCGGGGGGUGCAACCGUUGUCCUGAGCCGUCCGCCGCGUCCCGGGUGAGCGGGCAUGCAUGGCUUCGUCCUUGGGGAGAGCGUCGCGCUCCGGCAG
rnacentral:rRNA from 1 species